AGCGGAGGGGCUGAUUCUCUUUGACUCCCAUACUCCCAUCCAGUCAGUCGUGCGAGGAGCGGUACCAGCGACACUCGUCCGGGUCGAACGGUUGAAUAAGACCGCCGUGGUCAGCCUUCUCGGCAGACUGUUCCCUCGGAACAGUUUACCCGAAACUCUGUCGUGCUUCGAAUUUUGUUGUGUAUACCAGUAAAAAACGCACCGUGUGAAACGAAACGUGACAGGUGUCGAACAGUGGGAAGAACCGUGGACCGAGUGGACGAUACAAUGGAUCAGUGAUUUUCAACCACUAUGCUGAGGCACUUUAAUAUGCCGCGAGGUUUCUGAAGCGUGCCGCCACUGCCAGGCAGUGGUUCCUCCCGAAAUGAAAAUUAUUUAUCCUUUUUUACCUUUCUUUAUCAAUGGACAUGACAUUCAGUUCAAAUAUUUAUUUGAUUAUUUGAACUGAAGAGAUAGUGACAUUUGUGAUAAACGACACGUCGGUGUAUGAAUUAACUUUGAAAGAAGAAGAAUUAAUUUCGGUGUGAGAUUUAAUUUCAAAACAUUCAGAAGAAUCAAUUAAUAUGUUUUGGAUUAAUCUUAGACGCGACGACAGGCGCAUAUAUGUAAAUAUUUACAUAUUGUACACAGCGUGCACAUUGUAAUGACAGAGGAUGGAAAAGAGGGGUUGGAAACAUGACAUCGUGGAGAGUACUGUUCUUUUCGUACACGAGAAUGGCAAUAAGAGUACCUAACGAAGGUUGUCAGCGUGGACCUGAAGGAUGGUGCAUGAAGUGGACUUACGGGCGAGCGGGUGGCGGGUAUCCUUCUAAAAACGGAAGAGGAAAGCAGCUCUGUUGGAGCCUACAAACUGCUGCCUUCAAUGAGCACAGAUGAGGAGGGAGAUUGCUCAUGAAUUCCGAACUGUACACAUAUUAUGAGGGGAGUAAUGGUAGUGAGAAUGAGAGCAUAUCGACAUAAUGCGCACACCUUUCUCUCGUUGUAAAUUAAAUAAUCUUGUACGCUUCGUUAAAACAACGAGAUGAAUGUUAAAGAUAAUCGGAUAGAAUGAAGUCGCGAAGGUACUAAAAAAUAUUUCUCUUCAUCGUGCAAUGUAACUCUCAUACAAACACAGGAGGCAUUGUGAAUCAAAUAAUUCCUAAAAGUUAAGUUCAACGUUAAUAUUACCAAGUUGGAUGAAAUCAAGUGACAGAAGAGAGUCAUUGGAUGAAACCUGUCUUACUUUGGCAGAGCGCAUUCCGGAUCAACCCUUUUCCAAAUUCUUUGCAUCUUGGCACCGUACUAAAUCUCAAGAUCAAAAAAUUUAAUAACCGAGAGUGGAAAGAUAAGCACACGUCUUACGGAAUAACCCAGUUUGUGGCAGGAUGGAAGCGAACAGGAUCGAAAGAAUUCGGAAGAAGAAACGGACACCUGAAUUCCUGAAAUUAGUAUAUCACUUACUUUUACUAUUUGCUUUUAUACAGGAAGAUUCACGACAAACAGAACACCUAAACAUCUCAGUUGGACUUAAAGAUACGAACGUUUCUUAAAAUCACCGAGAUCUGGUGAAAUUUCAUUUCGGAUGAAGUGAUCUGUUCUUCGACCAGCGUCUGUUACUCGGAAUCGAAGAAGUUGGAAUUUCUGUGAUGUCAAGGAAAAGAACUGACGCGUUCCCUCGAACGACGCAACAAUUACCGUGUCAUGUGUGCAACCUGUGCGCGCACAGCGUGUAGCAGAGACUAAUUGUAAGAGGCAAUCUACAUUCUCAAUGUUCCAUCGAUCGAUUUGGGAUCGAGAAGGCGGGUUGGAAACAAUGAGAGCGCCGAGGACAGGAACUGCAUCCCAAAGCCGUCGUGUUCGUUCUUUUUUAUCGAUCCGGCGUCGAAAAAAUGUCGUUUCUUUACGAGCCAGUGUUCUGAUGCUAAAUAAUACAAUUAUCCGUGUGUUCGAAAUCCAGACAAUCCAUUUUUUGUUGUUGUUUAUUCAUCUGAAAAAAUUCCAACACGUCCGUAGCAUAACUGGACACGUCUGAGAAUUAUUUCAGAUUUUUUUGUUACAAAAUGUAACCGUGAAAAAUAAGAAACUCGUUUCUCCAUUCAAACAACUAGGUUGUUGCAUACAUGUUGAUAUCAAAACACUGAACAAGGUCAUAAACAAAGAAUAGCACUCGAAGAUAAAUUAAACAGUAGUCUACACAUGAAAACUUUAACCAAGUUCUCCAUUACCUUCAACAAUUUGUAUAAUUAGGUUCGAAUAAUUUACACAAAUUACAGAUAAACCUAUAUAAAUGAAAACAGGAAUAAUUUAUAAGUGUAAGUUAUGAAUUAGAUUCGUAUACAAGGUAUAAUUUUCACUCAACAACUAUGCCGUGGUAUACACUUUAAUACCAAGAUACUAAAAAAGUGUCAGAAAUAAGGAAGCAGCAACUUGAGACAAAUCAAUUAUUAAUUCAUGUAGUUAGAUUUAAAUAGAAUUAAACUUCCCACUGCUUAA